AAAAAUUUAGUUUAAUAAAAACAUUAAUUUGUCAAAUUAAAAAUAUUUAAUUAAUAAUUUUUA
rnacentral:tRNA from 1 species